CCUACGGGAGGCAGCAGUAGGGAAUAUUUCACAAUGGGCGAAAGCCUGAUGGAGCAACGCCGCGUGCAGGAUGAAGGCCUUCGGGUUGUAAACUGCUUUUAUAAGCGAGAAAGAUGAUGGUAACUGAUGAAUAAGGAUCGGCUAACUACGUGCCAGCAGCCGCGGUCAAACGUAGGAUCCGAGCAUUAUCCGGAGUGACUGGGUGUAAAGAGUUGCGGAGGUGGCCUAAUAAGUAGCUAGUGAAAUCUGGUGGCUCAACCAUUCAGACUAGUCGCUAAACUGUUAAGCUCGAGACCGUUAGAGGUAACUGGAAUUUCUUGUGUAGGCGUGCAAUCCUUAGAUAUUAG
rnacentral:rRNA from 1 species